AGAGUUUGAUCAUGGCUCAGGACGAACGCUGGCGGCGCGCUUAACACAUGCAAGUCGAGCGAUACCAUGGCUUCGGCUAUGGGGAGAGCGGCGAACGGGUGAGUAACACGUGAGCGAUCUGCCCUCGACACUGGGAUAGCCCGGGGAAACCCGGAUUAAUACCGGAUAGCCUCUCGGGUCUACGGGCUCGUGAGAAAAGAUGGCUUCGGCUUUCGGUUGAGGAGGAGCUUGCGGCGGAUUAGCUUGUUGGUGAGGUAAUGGCUCACCAAGGCGACGAUCCGUAGCUGGUCUGAGAGGACGAUCAGCCACACUGGGACUGAGACACGGCCCAGACUCCUACGGGAGGCAGCAGUGGGGAAUAUUGGACAAUGGGCGAAAGCCUGAUCCAGCAAUGCCGCGUGAGUGAAGAAGGCCUUCGGGUUGUAAAGCUCUUUUACCCGGGAAGAUAAUGACUGUACCGGGAGAAUAAGCCCCGGCUAACUCCGUGCCAGCAGCGGCGGUAAUUC
rnacentral:rRNA from 1 species